rnacentral:lncRNA from 1 species
GGACAGCAGCUUCCGGCGCCCCGGCAGCCUCCUGCCCUCGGGGCACUCGCUCCCCCGAGGUGUACUCCCCGAGGGCUGGGGGAGCGCAUUCCCUCCUGUCCUACUGAUUAACUUUCAGCAAAUGGGGCUGCCCAAAGGAGCAGACAGCGAGUGACCUGUGGCCCUGCUGUUUGAUUCUGGAUGGAGUUACGUUUAGGAGCCUGGCAGCAAACUGGGGCACCUGUUCAAUUAGUGAUGAUGCCAUACUCUGGUUGAUUUCUGUGGGGCACAUCUGUCCCUUACCAAGAAGAUCAGGCCAAGGAACACCAGGAGGAGAAUCACAGCCACCAGGACCACAAUAACUAUGGCCCAUGCAGGGAAUGAAUCAUUCUCUCCCAUCUGUCCAGCGUGGAUACCUUUCUGUGAGCCAUCUUUAUUGAGGUGGGGAAAGGAGACACAAAGAGGUUAAGUAAUUGGCAAAAUUAGACUUUUCACUGUGCCACAGAUGUUUUUAAACAUGAUAAGGGAUGA